rnacentral:tRNA from 1 species
GGGUGAUUAGCUCAGCUGGGAGAGCAUCUGCCUUACAAGCAGAGGGUCGGCGGNGUAGUUCAGUCGGUUAGAAUACC